UUAACUCAAAUUUGUAUGGAGUUGGAACACCUUUCCUUCGUUUGCCGCUAGGGGUGCUGUUCCAACUCUAUAGAAAUUUGAGUUA
rfam:Bombyx mori DNA, contig: Bm_scaf15_contig11356, strain: p50T/Dazao, build 2, whole genome shotgun sequence.